AGAACGUUAUCGUUUCGCGACGUCGCUUUAAAUGAAGUCAUAAUUUCGCGGAAUAUACACUGACGUCAUAAAUCCGGUUGCGCGAAAUUCAAAAAAGUACCUGCUGAAAAAGCGGCCAUGCCGUUUCUUAAAGACGGAGAAAUCCGCCGAAGAGCUGGUAGAUCAAAAGAAAUACUGGAAAUGAACAACAACAAAUUAAAUACAAC
rnacentral:lncRNA from 1 species